rnacentral:rRNA from 1 species
GGAACCGACGGGAGCUUGCUCCCUUAGGUUAGCGGCGGACGGGUGAGUAACACGUGGGUAACCUGCCUGUAAGACUGGGAUAACUCCGGGAAACCGGGGCUAAUACCGGAUGCUUGAUUGAACCGCAUGGUUCAAUUAUAAAAGGUGGCUUUUAGCUACCACUUACAGAUGGACCCGCGGCGCAUUAGCUAGUUGGUGAGGUAACGGCUCACCAAGGCGACGAUGCGUACCGACCUGAGAGGGUGAUCGGCCACACUGGGACUGAGACACGGCCCAGACUCCUACGGGAGGCAGCAGUAGGGAAUCUUCCGCAAUGGACGAAAUCUGACGGAGCAACGCCGCGUGAGUGAUGAAGGUUUUCGGAUCGUAAAACUCUGUUGUUAGGGAAGAACAAGUACCGUUCGAACAGGGCGGUGCCUUGACGGUACCUAACCAGAAAGCCACGGCUAACUACGUGCCGCAGCCGCGGUAAUACGUAGGUGGCAAGCGUUGUCCGGAAUUAUUGGGCGUAAAGCGCGCGCAGGCGGUUUCUUAAGUCUGAUGUGAAAGCCCCCGGCUCAACCGGGGAGGGUCAUUGGAAACUGGGGAACUUGAGUGCAGAAGAGGAGAGUGGAAUUCCCGUGUAGCGGUGAAAUGCGUAGAGAUGUGGAGGAACACCAGUGGCGAAGGCGACUCUCUGGUCUGUAACUGACGCUGAGGCGCGAAAGCGUGGGGAGCGAACAGGAUUAGAUACCCUGGUAGUCCACGCCGUAAACGAUGAGUGCUAAGGUUAGAGGGUUUCCGCCCUUUAGUGCUGCAGCAAACGCAUUAAGCACUCCGCCUGGGGAGUACGGUCGCAAGACUGAAA